rnacentral:misc_RNA from 1 species
UUCUUUUUUUUUUUGUUAAUUAUUCUACUGGUAUAGUUUUUCUCAUCACCUUAUCUCUCCUCCUUCCAUCUUUAUAAAGUCCCAUACACGAAACCAUGAGAAAAAAUAUUUCCCUGUGGGGAUUCUGAGGGAAGUUAUGGUCUUGGGCUUGUGUGUUCUUACUCAAACCAUAGGUCUCAUCUUGGCAGCUUACAUCCAUGGAAGCAGAUAGGCAGAAGCUCUGUGACAAUCUUGUUGGUUCUAAAUUCUUUCUUUC